AUUGAACGCUGGCGGCAUGCUUUACACAUGCAAGUCGAACGGUAACAGGCCACAAGGUGCUGACGAGUGGCGAACGGGUGAGUAAUGCAUCGGAACGUGCCCAGUCAUGGGGGAUAACGCAGCGAAAGCUGCGCUAAUACCGCAUACGAUCUAUGGAUGAAAGCGGGGGACCGUAAGGCCUCGCGCGAUUGGAGCGGCCGAUGUCAGAUUAGGUAGUUGGUGGGGUAAAGGCUCACCAAGCCAACGAUCUGUAGCUGGUCUGAGAGGACGACCAGCAACACUGGGACUGGGACACGGCCCAGACUCCGACGGGAGGCAGCAGUGGGGAAUUUUGGAAAAUGGGCGCAAGCCUGAUCCAGCAAGGCAGCGUGCAGGAAGAAGGCCUUCGGGUUGUAAACUGCUUUUGUACGGAACGAAACGGUCCUGGUUAAUACCUGGGGCUAAUGACGGUACCGUAAGAAUAAGCACCGGCUAACUACGUGCCAGCCGCCGCGGUAAGAC
rnacentral:rRNA from 1 species